rnacentral:rRNA from 1 species
GUGCCAGCCGCCGCGGUAAUACGUAGGGGGCGAGCGUUGUCCGGAAUUACUGGGCGUAAAGAGCGUGUAGGCGGGUGCUUAAGUCAGGUGUGAAAGACCGCGGCCCAACUGCGGGGUUGCACUUGAAACUGGAUAUCUUGAGGGCAGGAGAGGUCAGUGGAAUUCCUGGUGUAGCGGUGAAAUGCGUAGAUAUCAGGAGGAACACCAGUGGCGAAGGCGACUGACUGGACUGACCCUGACGCUGAGGUGCGAAAGCGUGGGUAGCAAACAGGAUUAGAUACCCUGGUAGUCCACGCCGUAAACGAUGGAUACUAGGUGUAGGAGGUAUCGACCCCUUCUGUGCCGCAGCUAACGCAAUAAGUGCCCCGCCUGGGGAGUACGGUCGCAAGGCUGAAACUCAAAUGAAUUGACGG